rnacentral:rRNA from 1 species
CCUACGGGUGGCAGCAGUGAGGAAUAUUGGUCAAUGGACGAGAGUCUGAACCAGCCAAGUAGCGUGAAGGAUGAUUGCCCUAUGGGUUGUAAACUUCUUUUAUAUGGGAAUAAAAUGUUCCACGUGUGGGAUUUUGUAUGUACCAUAUGAAUAAGGAUCGGCUAACUCCGUGCCAGCAGCCGCGGUAAUACGGAGGAUCCGAGCGUUAUCCGGAUUUAUUGGGUUUAAGGGGAGCGUAGGUGGAUUGUUAAGUCAGUUGUGAAAGUUUGCGGCUCAACCGUAACAUUGCAGCUGAAACUGGCAGUCUUGAGUACAGUAGAGGUGGGCGGAAUUCGUGGUGUAGCGGUGAAAUGCUUAGAUAUCACGAAGAACUCCGAUUGCGAAGGCAGUUCACUGGACUGCAACUGACACUGAGGCUCGAAAGUGUGGGUAUCAAACAGGAUUAGAUACCCUUGUAGUC